GGUCAAAAGCGCGACUGGCGUUAGGUAAGUGGGAAACCACUGGGAAGCGCUGAAGCAUCAAAAAUCGCACGCCUGGGUUUUUGUC
rnacentral:ncRNA from 10 species